ACCGCAUGGAGCUGUGGGAGAAAAGUCCCGGGGUUCCCUGCGAGCAAACGACGCAAGGCCUGGCUACUUGGUCGACAGGGGCUGAGAUUAAUAUUGCCAGAAAAUGGGAGGGGUAAAAAAGUUUGAUUAUCCGAAGUAUGUGUGGUCACCGACCGGUGGAUGGUGGUGCAAUCCGCGCAACUGGAAAAGAAAUACAGCCAUCUGUUUUGCUGUCGUUCUUGGAUUGCAGAUUCCAGUUGCAUUGCUUAGUUGGUCAAGAGAGAGACGUUAUGUGCCACCGUACAGACACAUUCCAUCACAACGUUUUGCAAGAUAUGCGAAGGUAGGUGCUGAAAACUCUUUGGCUAA